GCUUCAGACUUUCCUUUUAUUCCAGAUCCUGCCACUCCCAUCUACCACUGCAAUCACCUCUUCUCCCUCACCUGCACCUCAUUUCCUCAUCAGUCUUGCAGCACAUAUGCCCCUUUUCCCCUGUCGGUUGUCAGAUCAUUGUAGUUUCUUUGCUGCCGUGAGCUACCUGUACCUGCCUGUCAACCCACAGAUGAACUUCUCUUGGUGACAAUGUGGAACAGCUUUCAGCACUCACAGCAGGGUUGAACGUAACAAAUGGCCUGAGAUUUAACCCCAAUGCUAUAAGGGAACCAUAAUGUCAAUGAGGCAAUCGCUGUGCGGAGGACGGAACGGUUACAGCGGCACCAGUUGGGAACCUGCAGUGAAAGCUCGAUUGGAGAGGCCAGACACACAGCCGUCCAACGGUAAAGAUCAAAUGAUCCAAGCAGCAGCAGCUUCUGUCUUCUGGGGAAACUUCUCCCCCUCCCACCAAGUCCAGAGUCCAGAGGGCUGCACACAUCCAACAUCCAACACAGCAGCAGGAGGCUCAGUCAGUCAGUCAGUCAGUGUGUCGGUGCUCCUGAUGAAGGAGGGGAGUGUCUGUGUUUUUUUGUGACAGUGUGGUUUCACAUGCUAUUUUCCCUCCUCGCUCCAAAAAAAAAAAAAAAAAAAAAGGGGGAUGAAGAUUUAAAGGAACGGUAGCUUUUGUUUUGAUGGCUGCCUCGUGCGUAAUUAGGCUUAAUUGGGAUGGAGGGAGUGAUGAUGAUGAUGGUGAUGAUGAUGAGCUAAAUUGCAGUGUUGAAUACAUUGUGGUGAUGACCAAUCUGGAGUGAAACAUUUCUAGAAAGGAGGAGAUGGAGGAGGAGGAGGAGGUCUUCAGCAAAAUAAAGUGUGUGUGUGUGUGUGUGUGGGGGAGUGCAGUGAGUUUUUGUAAUGGGCUGAAAAUGUUUUGAGAUUUUUGUUGAUUGUGUCAGUAAAUUAUCAAUGAAAGACUUUAUUUCCGACAUAAAAUAAAUAAAAACAGACA